GCUGGUUGAGGGCUAUCGUCUGAGCGUGCCUUCUGGGCCGGAUUCUGAUCUGGGUCCGCCCUGUCGCGCCCCGCCCCUCCUCCCGCAGGGCCCAGGCGGGCGCUGCUGUGGAGCCGCAGUCUCCGGGCCAGGCUGGGGCUGCCGGCCCGGAGCCACCCACCCGAAGAGGUCUCCUCUCUAGGGAUGGUGGAGUUGGAAGAGGCGCCUUUAACCGUCCUCUGGGAUGAACCCCCUUCCAGAAGACAUGGAGAGCGCUCUCACGGGGAGCCAGAGCUCCCGAGCUUCUCUGCGCGAUGUCCAUUCCAUCAACCCCACCCAGCUCAUGGCCAGGAUCGAGUCCUAUGAAGGAAGGGAGAAGAAAGGCAUAUCCGAUGUCAGGAGGACUUUCUGUUUGUUUGUCACCUUUGACCUCUUAUUUGUAACAUUAUUGUGGAUAAUAGAGUUAAAUGUGAAUGGAGGCAUUGAGAACACGUUGGAGAAGGAAGUGGUGCAGUAUGACUACUACUCUUCUUACUUUGAUAUAUUCCUCUUGGCAGUUUUCCGGUUUAAAGUGCUGAUCCUUGCGUAUGCUGUGUGCAGACUGCGCCACUGGUGGGCAGUAGCGUUGACGACAGCAGUGACCAGUGCCUUUCUACUAGUGAAGGUGAUCCUCUCAAAGCUUUUCUCCCAAGGGGCAUUUGGCUAUGUGCUGCCCAUCAUUUCAUUCAUCCUUGCAUGGAUUGAGACAUGGUUCUUGGAUUUCAAAGUGUUACCUCAAGAAGCAGAAGAAGAGAACACUCGACUCAGCCUUUGACCAAGGACUCCAGUGUUGAUGGCCUUGCUUAUAAGGACUCCGGAUUGUUCAGGAUGCAUCAGAGAGGGCUGCCCUCAUACCCGCGGGUCUUUCAGAUGGUCAGUUUUAUUCCCCUCCUGAAUCUGAAGCAGUUGAAUGAAUUCUGUAUGCACUGAAGAUAAAACAGCUUUUUCAGGAUCUGAAGAAGAAGCUGAAGAAAAACAGGACAGUGAGAAAGCACUUUUAGAUCUCUGACUUCUGCUUUGUAAAACGGGAAGAGCCCUCACUGAAAGUCAUCUGAGAGAAAAGAUGGACAUGGGUCUCCUUCUUCGAAGUUGAAAUGGUGGCUUUGUGGAACAGCUAAUGAAGGAUUUAAUUAUGGUGAUACCUCACGGACAUUGUCCCAUAUGCACACUGCUCAGUCGCCUGCCUGUGGCCCUCAGGUCAUGUUGUAAUCUUCCUCUGUCCAGUGAGAUCAAGUCAGACCGUUCAGGAAUAAUUGAAGGAAAGUUUUGUGCUGUAUCAGAAUCAAAAGACUUGGUAAUAGAUUGAAAUAACACUUUUGUAGUCAGUGAAACAGCUUUUUAUUUCAAUUCACAAAAUGGAAUUUUUUGGUUUCAUGUCUCAGAUUUCUUUUGUAUUUCUUUUUUUAACACCCUCCGUUUCCCUUGUGUUUUCUAACUCACGCACAUGUGCUCUUUGUACAAUUAAAAAUAAAUAAAAUCCAACAUAUCAAAGUGA